CUGCCCAUUUGGAUCAUGAGGGGAAUGGAAGUGUGGAAUGGUACAUUCUAAUAAACAAAGAAAGUGCAACAGCCAGAACCACUAUGCAAUACUGUUCCAAACAAAGUGGAGAAGUGCUGUUAAAUCUGUAUGUCUAGGAGGUGUGGUGUGUUUAGCGACUUGAUGUCUGUGUUAUCCAGCACACUGACUUUCCAGAGUCGUCUCCAAGUUGUAAUGAACAACCUCUAUCCUGCUACACCAGAGCCCAGAGAGAAAUAAACCCAGACCACCAGCUAAGACAUUACAUAAUUGCCAUGGAUAUGAGCAAUGAAUGACCUCAGGUACUGUACUGAGAUGAAAAGAUUUAGCCAAAACCAAAAAAAGGUGCAUGUAAAAAGGAUUUGUUAGUUAGAUGGUGCCUCCGAAUCUCUUCUGAAGGGGCUUGUGCAAAACAGAGCAUUCCCUGAACAUUGAACCGCUGUGGUUUAAUUGGGCGUAACUGGGUUUCAAGAUUCAAGAUACUGCUCAGAUUAUUCUGCAAUAAACUCUUCUGAUUGCCAGCAGGAGGGAGCCCAUGGAUGCCAAACUAACCUCAUCUCUUCAGCCAGCUGGGCUAUCACA